AUUGAGCUGACGAGUUCUAAAUAGGACGAAACGCACAUCCUGGAU
rnacentral:hammerhead_ribozyme from 1 species